AUUGAACGCUGGCGGCAGGCCUAACACAUGCAAGUCGAACGAGUGGCGGACGGGUGAGUAAUGCAUGAGAAUCUGGCUAAUGGAGGGGGCUAACUACGGGAAACUGUGGCUACUACCGCAUACCAUAGGCUGGGCCGCAGGGGGAUUAGGUAGUUGGUGAGGUAAAGGCUCACCAAGCCGACGAUCCCUAGCUGGUCUGAGAGGAUGAACAGCCACACUGGUACUGAGACACGGCCCAGACUCCUACGGGAGGCAGCAGUGGGGAAUAUUGCACAAUGGGCGCAAGCCUGAUGCAGCCAUGCCGCGUGUAUGAAGAAGGCCUUCGGGUUGUAAAGUACUUUUAGUAGGGAGGCGUUACCGACAGAAGAAGCACCGGCUAACUCCGUGCCAGCAGCCGCGGUAAUAC
rnacentral:rRNA from 1 species